AGGCAUUCAGGCAGCGAGAGCAGAGCAGCGUAGAGCAGCACAGCUGAGCUCGUGAGGCAGGAGACUCAGCCCGAGGAAAUCGCAGAUAAGUUUUUAAUUAAAAAGAUUGAGCAGUAAAAAGAAUUAGAACUCUAAACUUAAGCUAAUAGAGUAGCUUAUCGAAAUAUUACUUAGUCUUAAUAAUCUAAGAAGAUCUUAAGAGAUAACAUGAAGGCUUAUUUAAACAGUUUGAAAAAGGAAAUGAGGAGAAAAGUAUUUGUACUGUAUAAUGGAGGCUGACCAGAGCAGUUUAGGAGAUUGUAAAGGGAGGUUUUGUGAAGUUCUAAAAGGUUCUAGUUUGAAGGUCGGCCUUGUAGAUUAAAACGAAGGUUACCUAAAUAGAAUCUAAGUGGCAUUUAAAACAGUAAAGUUGUAGAGAAUAGUUUGAAAAUGAGGCAGGCGGAUUUCUGAGUUCGAGGCCAGCCUGGUCUACAGAGUGAGUUCCAGGACAGCCAGGGCUACACAGAGAAACCCUGUCUUGAAAAAACAAAAAGGUUAGGCUAGUAUUUGGAGAAAGAAGAUUAGAAAAUGGAAGUGAAAGACGAAGAAGACAUACA
rnacentral:lncRNA from 1 species